rnacentral:rRNA from 1 species
UACGUAGGAGGCAAGCGUUGUUCGGAAUUACUGGGCGUAAAGGGCGCGUAGGCGGCCGCCUAAGUCAGACGUGAAAUCCCUCGGCUCAACCGGGGAACUGCGUCUGAUACUGGGUGGCUUGAAUUCGGGAGAGGGAUGCGGAAUUCCAGGUGUAGCGGUGAAAUGCGUAGAUAUCUGGAGGAAUACCGGUGGCGAAGGCGGCAUCCUGGACCGACAUUGACGCUGAGGAGCGAAAGCUAGGGGAGCAAACGGG